rnacentral:lncRNA from 1 species
CUCAAGAGGAAAAAAGCCCAAGCCACAAAAGGGAGUAGAAACUAAACCACAGGAUGUAUUGUGGGAGGCCACCCAUAGAGAAAGGGUCCUGACUGUCAAUAAAUGUGCUUGUUACACACGCACACGCGGAUACAGAGGAGCACUGCUUCCAGCCCAGAGCAGCACACUGACUGAGGCAAUAGAACCCCCCAGUACCGCUUCCCCUCCGCGCCUGGUAAUCACUACGUGUGGAGAAAAGCCAAAAAGCAGACGACUUAGAGACGCAGACAUCCAAGUUGGUGAAGAACCUCGGCAGCAGUUUAAGAAAAGCAGGUUGAAAGUAACCUUCUAGUGCUCCAUGACCCACGCUUCUCAAGAAGUUCAAUGGUAAUACAUUAAAAAGAAGAAGAAGAAGAAGAAGAAGAAGAAGAAGAAGAAGAAGAAGAAGAAGAAGAAGAAGAAGAAGAAGAAGAAGAAGAAGAAGAAGAAGAAGAAGAAGAAGAAGAAGAAGAAGAAGAAGAAGA